rnacentral:lncRNA from 1 species
AGAUAUAUAACUGUUAUUUUAUACUGUAAUUAUAAAAUUUUAUUAUAGAAGUAGAAAUUUAGUAGUUUUUGUAUUUAGACUUUUUAUACAUCCCUCCCCGAUUCGCCCCUCCUUCUCCCUGCCCGCCACACCGCGAAAAGUGAUGUGAUAGUCUCCCAAAGUCAAAGAUUAUAUAGAUAUAGAUAUAGAUAUAGAAUAACGGUAAGAAUCUAUUAAUUUUUGUAUAUAUAUUUUUUAUUAAUUAUAGAUUGUAUUUAUUGGAUAAAAUUUUAAUUUUUAUUAUAUUGAUUAUUAAAAAAUAGGAUUUAUUGAUGCGAUAAAAUUUUACACUUGGUGUAGACAAAAAGAAAAAGAAAAAGGUGUUGACGAAAAAAUAAAAAAAAAGGUGUAGAGUGUGUGUGAGAGAGAAAGAGAGAUAGAGAGUGAGAGAGAGGGGAAAAAAAAAUGUGGCCCCCACCUGAGUGCCCUAAUUAAGAGGAGGGCUGCCGUACAUGAAUUGGGGAUCUGACGGUAUUCCCAAUUCAUAGUUUACUAGGUACGGACCUGCGCGAUGCUGCGGGAAGAUAAUAUUUGAAUUAUUUGCAAAUUAAGAAUAAUUUUUUUAGAAAUGUAUAAUUUUCAAAACAUAUCAAAAUACUAAAACUAUUUAGAAAAGAAACGUAAUACGAUGGAUAGAAGGUAUAUAGAAUCAAAACCCAGCAUAAAUAUUAACAAUAAAAGUUAAUGUAAGGUAGAUUAUUUGUACUAUAAUUAAGAACUAA